GAUACUUUCUGCCUUGGAACCGGGAGAUGUAAGAGGUACUUCCCGGGUAGGAGUGAAAUUUUGUAAUCCCUGUGGGACCACCGGUGGCGAAGGCGUCUUACCAGAACGGGUUCGGCGGUGAGGGAUGAAAGCCGGGGGCACGAACCGGGUUAGAUACCCGGGUAGUCCCAGCCGUAAACGAUGCUUGCUAGGUGUCAGGCAUGGCGCGACCGUGUCUGGUGCCGCAGGGAAGCCGUGAAGCGAGCCACCUGGGAAGUACGGCCGCAAGGCUGAAACUUAAAGGAAUUGGCGGGGGAGCAC
rnacentral:rRNA from 1 species